CGGUACGGUAACUCGACCAGAAUCGGGAUAACACCUGGAAACAGAUGCUAAUACCGGAUAACAACAGAUGAUGCCUAUCAACUGUUUAAAAGAUGGUUCUGCUAUCACUCUUGGAUGGACCUGCGGUGCAUUAGCUAGUUGGUAGGGUAACGGCCUACCAAGGCGAUGAUGCAUAGCCGAGUUGAGAGACUGAUCGGCCACAUUGGGACUGAGACACGGCCCAAACUCCUACGGGAGGCAGCAGCC
rnacentral:rRNA from 1 species